UAUUGUGGCCACUCUUGCAUCAAGAAUGGUCUGGCCACACAAUGAGGCAGUGGCUAAUGCUACACACAAGAAAGGGAAGAGAAAAUCAUCUUCAUCAUCAUCAGGUGCCAAGAAAAGGAAGAAGACAACAACCAGUACUUCAACAAGUACUGCUAGCAGAUCUGGAACUGGAUCUAAUGAUCAUGUGCCUCUCCAAGUUCUGCCUCCUGUUCUGCCUGCUGCCUCAGCACACACAGCGCUCACACCAAUGAAGAAAUGUGGUGUCACGAAGAAGCUAACAC